GAUGAAGAACGUAGCGAAAUGCGAUAAGUAGUGUGAAUUGCAGAAUUCAGUGAAUCAUCGAAUCUUUGAACGCACAUUGCGCCCGCCAGUAUUCUGGCGGGCAUGCCUGUCCGAGCGUCAUUUCAACCCUCGAACCCCUCCGGGGGGUCGGCGUUGGGGAUCGGCCCUUUCACCGGGUGCCGGCCCCUAAAUACAGUGGCGGUCUCGCCGCAGCCUCUCAUGCGCAGUAGUUUGCACACUCGCACCGGGAGCGCGGCGCGUCCACGUCCGUAAAACACCCCAACUUCUGAAAUGUUGACCUCGGAUCAGGUAGGAAUACCCGCUGAACUUAAGCAUAUCAAUAAGCGGAGGA
rnacentral:misc_RNA from 1 species